UACGAAGGGUACAAGCGUUAUUCGGAGUUACUGGGCGUAAAGAGCGUGUAGGCGGCUUGUUAAGUUGGUUGUUAAAUUUCCCGGCCUAACUGGGAACCAGCAACCAAAACUGGUGAGCUCGAGUACAAGAGAGAGAAGUAGAAUUCCCGGAGUAGCGGUAAAAUGCGUAGAUCUCGGGAGGAAUACCGAUGGCGAAGGCAGCUUCUUGGCUUGAAACUGACGCUAAAGCGCGAAAGCGUGGGGAG
rnacentral:rRNA from 1 species